rnacentral:rRNA from 1 species
GUGGAUUAGAUACCCUGGUAGUCCUGGCCGUAAACGAUGGAUACUAGGUGUUGCGGGUAUCGACCCCUGCAGUGCCGAAGCUAACGCGAUAAGUAUCCCGCCUGGGGAGUACGCACGCAAGUGUGAAACUCAAAGGAAUUGACGGGGACCCGCACAAGCGGUGGAACAUGUGGUUUAAUUCGAAGCAACGCGAAGAACCUUACCAGGGCUUGACAUCUAACAAAUCUAGCGGAAACGUUGGAGUGCUCUUCGGAGAAUGUUAAGACAGGUGGUGCACGGUUGUCGUCAACU